AAGAAUAAAUUUUAAGAAGCUGCUAACUAUCUUUAUAGUGUUAAAUCACUUUAUUCUUG
rnacentral:tRNA from 1 species